rnacentral:rRNA from 1 species
CCUACGGGUGGCAGCAGUGGGGAAUAUUGGACAAUGGGCGAAAGCCUGAUCCAGCCAUGCCGCGUGUGUGAAGAAGGCCUUCGGGUUGUAAAGCACUUUCAGUGGGGAAGAAAGCCUUGGGGCUAAUACCCUCGAGGAAGGACAUCACCCACAGAAGAAGCACCGGCUAACUCCGUGCCAGCAGCCGCGGUAAUACGGAGGGUGCGAGCGUUAAUCGGAAUUACUGGGCGUAAAGCGCGCGUAGGCGGUCUGAUAAGCCGGUUGUGAAAGCCCCGGGCUCAACCUGGGAACGGCAUCCGGAACUGUCAGGCUAGAGUGCAGGAGAGGAAGGUAGAAUUCCCGGUGUAGCGGUGAAAUGCGUAGAGAUCGGGAGGAAUACCAGUGGCGAAGGCGGCCUCCUGGACAGACACUGACGCUGAGGUGCGAAAGCGUGGGUAGCAAACAGGAUUAGAUACCCUUGUAGUC